AGAUUCUGGUUUUAAUUUUCUCUAUUGGAGCCAGCAAUUAACAUUUAAGGUCACUGUACUGAAGAGAUAUUUCUUUAGCCGCCAACAGCGCAGAAAAGCUUAACAAUAAGAAUGCACUGGAAAGAAAUCCACAUUCAAAGAAGCUUCCACAAAUCAUCUACAGUGGCCAAAAGGGGACAGUAGUAACAUUCUUGCUUAAAUAUACUGCAUAUCAGCUAAAUGAA